UCUUCGCCGGUGCGUCCUCGCCGCGCCCGUAGGUCCCGGCAGCCGGGCCCCGCCUCCUUCGGAGUCCGAGCGAUGGGCGGGGAAAGGGACAGGCAGGUAUAGCUCUGUCGGCGCCGCGGUGUCCACCUCAGUCAGGCCACGGUGGAAGACGCGUGCCGCGGCGCCUGGUUGCCUGCAGCGGCCCGGACCCGAGAGGUCAGAAAUUGAUGCUGAGUACAGUGAAGUUUUACAAAACCAUUGCCAUAUGACUGCUGAGCAGUAUAGCUGGGAUCUGAACAGAGAUCUGUUUGACUUCCAGAACACAUCCAGUGAUUCUCCAAGUGUGGUCCUAAGCUCACUCGUUCAGCAUCAUCUAGCGUGUGGAGUCCUGGAUCUCAUCCUUGGAUUUGCAGGGAUGGUCCUAAGAAGCUAACGGCUCUCUGUAUUUGACAAUUAUUGUACUGUAAUGUGCUGCCUCCUAGGGGAAGAUCUAGAGGAAGCUGAACCAUCUAUCUCCAGAAAUGUCUUCAGAAAGUAAAGAGCAACAUAACGUUUCACCCAGAGACUCAGCUGAAGGAAAUGACAGUUAUC
rnacentral:lncRNA from 10 species